rnacentral:rRNA from 1 species
UUCCGGAGGGCUCCGCCCCCGGAGCCGCGGCGGCGGCGGGGGUCGGGAGGCGCUCGGCGGCGGGGCCGCUUGCGCGGGACCGGCGUCGCGCCGAACGAGAGGUCGCCUCGGCUCGCCCGAAAGGACGCGGCCGGGGGCCGCCCGGAGGCGCGGCGUCGGCCCGAGGGAGAAGGAGAUCGCAUCGCGGGGCAACGGGUCGAACCCGAGGGGCCCGUCGCCGUUCCCGAGCCGCGAGGCUCGGGGCGGAGGCGGGCUCCCCGGCGAGGCUCGACCCCAGGUUUUCGAAUGGCGUAGGCGAGACGGUCCCGUCCGACCCGUCUCGGAACACGGACCAAGGAGUCUAACGCGCGCGCGAGCGAGAGGGCGAGAGGCCCAUCCGCGCAACGAAAGCGAAUGGCGGGACGCUCUCCCGCAGGGGGGGCGGCU